UCCGGGGUAGCUCAGCGGUAGAGCAGUGGACUGUUAAUCCAUUGGUCGUGGGUUCGAAUCCCACCCCCGGAGCCA
rnacentral:tRNA from 4 species